rnacentral:rRNA from 1 species
GAUCAUGGCUCAGGAUGAACGCUAGCUACAGGCUUAACACAUGCAAGUCGAGGGGCAGCGGGAUUGAAGCUUGCUUCAAUUGCCGGCGACCGGCGCACGGGUGAGUAACGCGUAUCCAACCUUCCGUACACUCAGGGAUAGCCUUUCGAAAGAAAGAUUAAUACCUGAUGGUAUCUUAAGCACACAUGUAAUUAAGAUUAAAGAUUUAUCGGUGUACGAUGGGGGUGCGUUCCAUUAGGUAGUAGGCGGGGUAACGG